rnacentral:rRNA from 1 species
CUACGGGGCGCUGCAGUAAGGAAUAUUGCGCAAUGGAGGCAACUCUGACGCAGCCAUGCCGCGUGCAGGAAGAAGGCCUUAUGGGUCGUAAACUGCUUUUAUUUAGGAAUAAACCCCCGAACGUGUUCGGGGCUGAAGGUACUAAACGAAUAAGCACCGGCUAACUCCGGGCCAGCAGCCGCGGUGAUACGGAGGGUGCAAGCGUUAUCCGGAUUUAUUGGGUUUAAAGGGUGCGCAGGCGGGCGAUUAAGUCAGUGGUGAAAUCCCGGGGCUCAACUCCGGAACUGCCAUUGAUACUGAUAGUCUUGAGUUUGGUUGAAGUGGGCGGAAUGUAGCAUGUAGCGGUGAAAUGCAUAGAUAUGCUACAGAACACCAAUCGCGAAGGCAGCUCACUAAGCCAAAACUGACGCUCAUGCACGAAAGCGUGGGGAUCAAACAGGAUUAGAUACCCCUGUAGUC